GGGAAUAUAGCUCAGUUGGUAGAGUGCUUGCCUUGCAUGAACAAAGUCCUGGGUUCAAUCCCUAGCAACCCCG
rnacentral:tRNA from 1 species